GACGAACACUGGCGGCGUGCUUAACACAUGCAAGUCGAACGAAGUGGCGAACGGGUGAGUAACGCGUAAUCAACCUGCCCUUCAGAGGGGGACAACAGUUGGAAACGACUGCUAAUCCCGCAUACUGAAGGAGGGGAUUGCGUCUGAUUAGCUAGUUGGGGGGGUAACGGCCCACCAAGGCGAGGAUCAGUAGCCGGUCUGAGAGGAUGAACGGGCACAUUGGGACUGAGGACCGGGCCAGACUCCGACGGGAGGCAGCAGUGGGGAAUCUUCCGAAAUGGACGAAAGUCUGAAGGAGCAACGCCGCGGGAGUGAUGACGGCCUUCGGGUUGUAAAGCUCUGUUAAUCGGGACGCGGUACCGGAAUAGAAAGCCACGGCUAACUACGUGCCAGCCGCCGCGGUAAUAC
rnacentral:rRNA from 1 species